AUUGAACGCUGGCGGCAGGCCUAACACAUGCAAGUCGAACGAGUGGCGGACGGGUGAGUAAUGCCUAGGAAUCUGCCUGGUAGUGGGGGAUAACUACUGGAAACGGUAGCUAAUACCGCAUACCAUCAGAUGUGCCCAGAUGGGAUUAGCUAGUAGGUGGGGUAAUGGCUCACCUAGGCGACGAUCCCUAGCUGGUCUGAGAGGAUGACCAGCCACACUGGAACUGAGACACGGUCCAGACUCCUACGGGAGGCAGCAGUGGGGAAUAUUGCACAAGGGGCGCAAGCCGGAGGCAGCCAUGCCGCGUGUAUGAAGAAGGCCUUCGGGUUGUAAAGUACUUUCAGCGGGGAGGCGUUACCCGAAGAAGAAGCACCGGCUAACUCCGUGCCAGCAGCCGCGGUAAUAC
rnacentral:rRNA from 1 species